UUCCACCUCUCCUCUCCAAUCCUUGAUCAAACUUGCGUUCCCCAGGUGCUAUGAAAUGGGGGUCUUUCCUUCGCCUAUCGUAUGUAUCGCCUUGGCUUCAUCCCAAACCAAGGAGGCAUUCUGGCGGACGCAUGCGUGUAAGAAGGUCGACGACUACAUAAGCUAAAAGACUACGACUACAAGACAGGCCGGAAGUGGCUCGCUUCUAUUCUUGUUGGGAUUGGAUAUAGAUGGGAAAUCUAUAGAUCGUAGUAGUUUGCCAACCUCUCUAACUAACAUACAACACAAUUUCACUUCAAGGCACGACAAAAAAAAAGAAAGAGCUUCGCUCGGUUGGCCUUCCUACGCUAACGAAUGCCUCUUUUCUCUUCUUUGAAGUCUAGAACAAACAAGUGGGAGAGGCAGGAUUCGAACCUACGUAGAAAAACGUCAACAGCUUUAAAGUCUGCCGCUUUUGACCACUCGGCCACUCUCCCCUUCCCGGGACGAGGCCCAUCUCAAUGGGUUCUAAUUCUAAGAAGUGGGGAGGUGCCCUCAAUCAAUCAAACAGCUUAUUGAUUUAAUUGAAGGGAACAAAUACGAUUAGCUUAGCUAGCAUUUCGGGAGAAUCUAGUCAUUUAGUCAGUUCAUAACAAUCUCAUAAAGCAAGGGGUAAAGCUUCUACGAAAGCUUAGUCGUCGACCUUCCCCAGCCCCCCCUCGUCGCUUCUGGUGAAGCUGCGAGUUCAUGAGCAAGUGAAUGAAGGAGCCAUGUCCCUAAAAGAAAAUGACCCUCUUUGUUUUCUUUUCGUCCCCUAUCCCUUCAAAGCCCUUGUAUAGGUUGGGCGCUAGCGCUUUACUAAUAUAAUAAAAAGUCAGGCUCUUCUGCUGAGCGAAGCUGCGAGCCUACUUAAAUAUAGCUUACGCUUACCAAGCCUAAUCUACAAAAAUAGGGCUACAGCAAGCAAAGCAAGCUUUCCCCCUUCGUUUGUUGUGGGUCGCGCCUCACCGCAGGCACUGAAUGAAUGAAAUGAGUGGAGAUCCUCCUUCCCCCUUGCUAAUUACCAAGAACUUCGUUGCCACUAGUAAAUUAGACCAUCCCCCUCUCCUUCCCCCGUGCUAAUUACCAAGAACAUUGUUGACACUAGUAAAUUAGACCAUCCCCCCAAAAAAGAACUCGGAGCCUAAACAUAAGAGAGUUCAGUCUACAAGAAGCUGGCAGAGCUUUAACCAUUGGGCCACAUCCAUCUAUCCUAAACAGUAACCCUUUUCUUCUUUGUUCUUCGAAUGACGCUAGUGGAGACUAAUUCCUUCCGGCUAAUGAAGAUACUACUCCAGUCUUUCCAGUGGAUCCUUCUUAUCCCUAAGAAUGGAACGAACCAAGUUAACCUAUACGAGAGUGAGGAAUAAAAACCAACAAUCAACUUACCGCUUUUGAUGUCCCACGAUUCUGCUAGUUUAGAAACAAAGGAGAAGGACAGGGGUCGCUAGGUCAGAAAAGCGAUAACUAAAAAAUCUCCCCAAGUAGGAUUCGAACCUACGACCAAUCGGUUAACAGCCGACCGCUCUACCACUGAGCUACUGAGGAACAACGGACCUACGACCAAUCGAUCAACAGCUGACCUCUCUACCACUGAGCUACUAGGGAACAACGGACUUUAUGUUGGAAGCCGACUCUCGUUCUUGGACCAACCUAUGACCGAAUAAAAAUGAGUUCGUCACGCUUUUUCACGUACACCGGGAGAAAAAGUUACGAUAGCAAGCCCAUCCCUGGCCGGAGAGCCUCUAGGACAAGGAUGCGGCGAUCAACCAUCCACUCUCGAGAUUCAUAUUGAUCAAUAGAUCUCCGCGUCCUGCCAGUUCGCUAUGUAGAGUCACUCUACCGAGGGGCAACAAAGGCUGGAACUCUUCCUGCCAAAAACAAGGGACCUACUUCUCAUCCUAGGAGUUAUCAGGUAUGAAAGAGUCCCCUCUCUGUCUGUCUCUCUGAGUUUCUACUACUAAGUAGCACUUCUACUAUUCAAUCAUAGAAUCUAUUCCGAUCAAGCUGAAAAAAGUCAGCCCUAUGUAUGUUAUUAGUUAAGCGCUAACGCCCUAUCUAAAGUAAGGGGGCUUUUCUUGCUCGUUACCGCUGUUUUUUGCUUGUAGCUAGGGCGCCCCUUUUCUUUCUCAAAGUCAACUUUCUCGCUUGUUAGUCAAGCUUUGAAGUCCCUACUUUAUUUAGAUUUAUGGGAUAUUUGAAGAAGCGCAGGUUUUCCACCCUAUACCUAUACAAGGGGCUGGUCUCGAUCUCGCUUGGUGGUACCCCUCUCGAUGAUUGUUGACUCAACAUUGAUUUCGUGCUUGAGUUGGAGGGCUCUCCCUCCAUCCAUCGAGUCAAGUAAUUCGCUAUCGGAAAUUGAUCCGCCGCCUAUCUCAUGCCAUGCAGAGUUGGAGGGCUCUCCCUCCAUCCAUCAAGUCAAGUAAUUCGCAAUCAGAAAUUGAUCCGCCGCCUAUCUCAUGCCAUGCUUCUUCUUUCUCCGAAUCGGUUCCUAGUGUCAGUCAAUCAAGAUUCGCCAUCAAGAGAGGGAAGAGCCUUGACUUUAGGUUAGGCCGGUCUCAUCAUUCACGCAAUUCCCCCGUCCAUCGAUUGAUCACGCGAGUACGCAUCCAGUCAGCGCAUAGCGAAUGAAAAAAGCGUUCAUCCUGGAUUCUCUUCCUCAAGAAACCAUCAAAAGAGGGAAGAGCCUUGACUUUAGGUUAGGCCGGUCUCAUCAUUCACGCAAUGAAAAAAGCGUUCAUCCUGGAUUCUCUUCCUCAAGAAAAAUGUCUAUUAAUUGAUCCCUAUUCAUUCGAUCAAAGUCUCCACUUUUCAUGCCUCUCUACUAAGAGAUUCACCAUGUUGAUAGCAAUCGCAAAAGACCUUCUUGUACAAGUCCUCGAGGGAAGCAUUCAUGGAAAUCAUCAGUACUUUCUCCCAAGGGCAUUGUAUGGCUUUGUUCUUUAUCUUGUUUAAUAGAUGCCGAGUGCCGCCUUUCCCCGUCCGAGAAUCUAUGUCUGCUCUAAGUGGGCGCAAGCUAGAAUCCUUUUGUCAGCUUGCUUGUUCAAAAAACUGUCUCUUUACCCCUUGCAUCUCCAUCUUUUCGAAAGCCCAGACCAUUCUUCUGGAUCUGCAUUAGUCCUAUUUCAGGUGCAAAGCCCCAUCAAUAAUGACCUCUUUCUUUUCUUCUCCCCCAUUUCUCAUUUUGUUGAUUGAAAGAGAAUAAUCGUUAUCCAUUGAGUAAAGAGAGGGUUUUCGGUUGGCAUAGAGAAGGUUCCAUCAAUCCAACAAAGUCCCAUGUCGACUUAUUGAUUUGGUAUCCAAAGAUCCCCAGAUAAGGAAAACUUUGGUACCACGAGAAAGAAAGGCUUCCGAACCUUCGCCCCUCCAAGGACAAAGAAUUUUCUUUUCUUCGUCCCUUCAGUUGAUUAAUAACCAUCUCUUUGGACUUUAGUCUUCUAUUUCCCUUCAUCAAUCUCAUAAACCUCGGUGUCACUAUAUAAAAAGGCGAGUUUCGAACCUCAUAUGGCCAAUCACCCACGAUUUGGAUAUAUCCAAUAGGCCAAGGACACGGGAUCCCAUUGCCGCAAUGAGAUUCUUGUUGAGAAAAGGUAUGGAAGGCAGAGUUCAUGGAGAAUAACACAGAGCAGAGGGGAGAAGAAACAAAGUGUAAGGACCGAAGGUCUGGUCCGGUGAUAAAGGUAUGGAAGGCAGAGUUCAUGCAGAAUAAUACAGAGUAGAGGGGAGAAGGAACAAAGUGUGAGGACCAAAGGUCUGGUGCGGUGUUAUGGCAAAAGGUAUUGCCGAAUUGGGAUCCCGAAAGUAGCUAAUGUCCAAUUGUCCGAUGACAGGGCUGGCGUUCUUUUUUUCCUGAUGACAAAGUAGCUAAGUCAUGGAUUUCCAUAUUGCUAUUGAUCUGAUCUCCACUCGAAGAUAGAACCAAAGGAUCUGAAUUAGCCUCUAAUGGCUAGUGAGUGUAAUAAGCAGUUUCGCCCGGUGCAGCUAAUGAACAAAGGUCCUGUUGGCAGAACAUAGAGACCCGGUCAAGCCAUUGGGAAGAGAGCUCCUGACCACCCGACUCAGCAAAAGAGAAGGGAUGGUUUCCUGGCCGGAUGUAUCUUUCGGCCUAGAAUCUUGUGGCAGAUGACCCUAUCUUAUAAAGCAACUUGGAAACAACCACCAUCAGUCCUUGAAUAAAUAUUCAUAUAGAAGAAGGUAUUAGCUUGGGCUGCAAGCGAUGUACACGCUUAGAAUUCCAAUCGACAAAUCCAACGGAACCCUACGAUGCUGUCUCAGAGGCUUGUUCUAACACAUACCUAUUUUUUUCGCAGCUACAAGGUGGUUUUUUGCUUCCAUGUUGUAGAGGUGAAUCUUUCUCUUCCAUGCCAUAGAUAGACCAAAGGGGACUAAUGCAUAAAAGCAUAUAUAAACAUUGGACCUUUCUUUUCCUUUUCUUUCGGGAUUGGAUCGAUCAUACUUAUAUGCUUCAUAACCAGUGGUUUAUAAUUCCACUGGCACGAUAAUGAAGUCGGUACCGGAGUAGCCUCCCCGUACCCAUUCCACCUUUGUGGCCGGAUCUAAAAUAUAUGGAUAUCGACCAACAUGCAGCCAAAUCGUAUAACUUCCACGUGACACCGAAGUUAACGAGUGUUUGAUCUAGUAAACUUCUACGCCAUUAGGUUGCAUAGACAGGUGCAUUAAAGAAAUCCUACAUGAGUUGAACUAUGGUCAACGUACGAAGUCAACGAAGUCAUUCGAAAGAGGAAUCUCUUUACCUCACGGAGGUAGAGUAUAUGCAAUCUAGAUACAAUAGUUCAUCUUGCUUGAUGUCUGCUAUUUGUCAUGGGCAAUGCAAUCAAGCCAAAAUAAGAAAGUGCGACCUAGACACUUAAAGGAAGGGGAUUUCGAGCCGACUAUUUGAUAGAGAUGUUGAAUAGGACCCAUAUGGUGGGUAAGCGCGGGGGAGGAGAACCUAUUGCCGAAUUAGGCACCAAAGCCUCGGUGUCUUACUCUCCUCGGAGCUGUGCCCUAUGUAGAGUAGACUAUCUAGAUAAACAUUUUGUAUUUCCCCGUGUGUGUAAUCAGUUGUUAGCUUAGUCUCUAAUUCUCUAAUUGUUGUAUGCGUUCAAAUGAAUAAGUAAGCCCCUUGGGCUGACCUGCUUCUUUUCUUCUUUUCCCGGAUAGGGAAUUUGUAAGCUUCGCAUCUUGGUCUAUUGCUCCUUCCUUUCCUAGUGGCUGUGGUACUCGGCAUCAGCCUUCCUUGUAAACUCUUCAAAGAGAAAGGAUCGAUUGAGCUAUUCAUAAAAUAGCUAUCAAAUUGUAGAUCACAGACGUUAUCUUAGAGAGCAAAGUUACCAUUUGAUCAUGAAAAUAGUGCAUCGUCCAUUGAUUCUCUAUUCUCUUAUACAUUUUCUAGUUCUUCUCUCUUGGUUUCGGGAGCAGGAAAAGAUGUAAUUGACCUAGAAAGGUGCGAAACGCUAGACCAUAGAAUAGAGCCAAUGGUGCUGCUUCGGACUAGCCAGUUUCACUAUUCGUUGAAUAUAGUUCAAUAACUCAACCAACGUACGUAGUGAACGAAGUCUCUGAAUGAGUUGAACGAUUCCUUUCAAAUGAGUUUCACACAGUGAAACGACUUCGUACGUUUCACUAUUCGUUUAUCAACUCAUUUAGUCGCUUUUAAGAUUCCUAGGUAUUCGUUCACCUCGUGCCUAUUUCGUUACACUCAUUUCCUCUCCCUUAGUUGCUACUACGUACCUUAACUGUUCGGUUAUUCAAUCAUAUCCGAUUUGGUCCAUUUCGCAUUGACCUUUGUUGUUCACGUCUUUGCUACGAGCGUGGGAUAUGGCAAGGCUGAGCAUUUACUAUGGCAAGUGAAGGUGAAGACGUCAUGAAUGACCACCUAUUCGGGAUCACUUCUUCGCCUCAUACUUCUGAUGGAUCUUGAAAAGACGCAUCCACCUCUUAUAGGCCUCAGGUCCCUCAUUCGUAUUGAGAUUCAUCCUAGUCUACCUCUUAAGCUGAUCAAGUUGCUAAUCCCUCCCUAUAUCACAUUUACACCUUUCAAGGGCCUUUUUUUCCAUCUAUUUGAAAUCAUGUCUUGUUCAAGCUACGGAAACUCAGUUUUCAGUAUAGCGAAUCCACAACUGCCACUGAAAGAAUAGGAGCGGAGCAUCUAUACUCUCUUCCGCAACUUCCAAAAGAGAGCCACAUCAAGAACAAGAGCUGGUACCGAAAGACUGGCAGGAAUUUUAUAUAUAAUAAAAACAACAAUAGAAAGGGUAGAAUUCAUAAUUUAUUCGGUGUUAGCGGUCUUGGGUCAAGGGCGGAGACCCUUACCUAGUGAAGGAAAAAGUGGAGUUCAAGUUGCUUGUUCCUUUGCGCUGGCGUAAAAAAAUGGUUUUUAUAAAUAGAAUGGCCAAGCCAACCCAAUCUCAGAAUUGGAAUAAGCAAAGCAAAGAAGUUGUGAAUCGCCCUGACCAAGUCGUCUUCAAAAAUCUUCCAACAGUGAUAAUAAAAGGGAAUCUAUCAAUUUAAAGGAUAGGGGCGGCACUGCUUUGUCGUCCGGCUCCUCAUACAUAAAUGAUGUUAGGAUCGGCCGGCUCAUCCUCGAAAUCAAAUUAGAAAAAAUUAUAACUUUUAUAACUUAUAGUAUCCUUUCUAAAAAAAAGUGAUAAAAUUCGGAAUUGACCCCCCCUUAAAAAAUAAUAACUUUAAUAACUUAUAGUAUCCAUUCUAAAAAAAGUGAUAAAUUUCGGAAUUGACCCCCCUGUCAUUAAAUCCAAUUGCAUAUGUAGAAGGGAUAAUACGGAGAAUGUGUAUUUCUCUAACAUGGCAUUAACCUCCAACUGAACCACUUCUUCAGCUUGUGCUGAUGAAAAUUAUACAAUUUGGGGAUGGAAUUCAUGGAGUGAAGUGAAAGCAGCUGCUCACAAAGUCCAGCAAAGACAAGGUCAGUGGUAUCAAAAAGACUUUCUUCCUCCGGCUCAAAAACUUGCAAGGGGAAAUUUUGUUGUUCAACAAUGGUAGCAAGGUGAUUGGUUGUAGCCACUUCUGUUCCUGUUCCAGCUGGAGCAGCCGAAAUGAUGCUAGUGGGGGAUAGGGGUUCUCUCCCUAUAGUAGAUAAAUAUAAAGCCUUGCUUGUUCCCGUAAAAACAUCUUUUGAGGAAUGAGGCAGACCAGGCCAUUUCUCAAGAACAAUAGCUAAAGGGCCUGAUACUACCACUUGGAUCUGGAACCUACAUGCUGAUGCUCAGGAUUUCGAUAGCCAUAUUAGUGAUUUGGAGGAGAUUUCCCAAAAAGUAUUUUGUGCCCAUUUCGGGAAACUCUCCAUCAUCUUUCUUUGGCUGAGCGGCAUGUAUUUCCACGGUGGUCGUUUUUCCAAUUAUGAAGCGUGGCUAAGUGAUCCAACUCACAUUGGGCCUAGUGCUCAGGUGGUUUGGCCAAUAGUGGGCCAAGAAAUCUUGAAUGGUGAUGUGGGCAGGGGUUUCCGAGGAAUACAAAUAA
rnacentral:lncRNA from 1 species